rfam:Arabis alpina cultivar Pajares Aa.chr7_contig_2284, whole genome shotgun sequence.
AUCACAUGGUGAGGACACCUUCUGGCGUAUCCUUUGAGACGUUUCCAAGCUUCACUAAGGGAUUCUUGACUGUCUUGCCUAAAAGAGUUGAUAUCGCUUAUGUACUU